AUCGGAUUUUCAGAGAGGUGGUGCAUGGCCGUCGUCAGUUCGUACUGUAAAGCGUUCUGUUAAGUCAGAUAACGAACGAGACCCUCAUCUCUAUUUGCUACCUGGUUCUCCGGAAUCAGCGCACUAUAGGGAGACCGCUGGUGUGAAACCAGAGGAAGGUGAGGGCAACGACAGGUCAGUAUGCCCCGAAUGUCUUGGGCUACACGCGCGCUACAAAGGACGGGACAAUGGGAAGCCAGGCCGAGAGGCCGAGCUAACCCGAAACCCGUUCAUAGUUCGGAUCGAGGGCUGUAACUCGCCCUCGUGAAGCUGGAUUCCGUAGUAAUCGUGUUUCAAUAUAGCACGGUGAAUAUGCCCCUGCUCCUUGCACACACCGCCCGUCAAACCAUCUUAGUUGGGGGUGGGUGAGGCUGCGCUUUAUGGCGUAUUCGAGCCUGCCUUCGACAAGGAGGGUUAAGUCGUAACAAGGUAUCUGUAGGGGAACCUGCAGAUG
rnacentral:rRNA from 1 species